AUGAAAAUUCAACUGGGAUACAGAUCUUAUAAAGAAACCCUAUUCCUAUGGUUUUGUGCAAAGGUUGAGAGCAUGGAGCUUUGUUGCACCUUCCUUUCUACUGAGUGCUUAGCGGUGAAAGAGAGAAAAAAAUGUGGGAAAAUUGAAGAAAACAAAUCAAUAAAUAGAACUCACCAAAAAUUAAAAUAUUUUAUUAUUUUUUACCCAAAAAUAAUGGAUUCAAAUUUUAUAAAUUUAACACAAUUAAAUCCUUACUCAAUAUUUUUUAAUAUGUUUGUGGAAAAGUAG